rnacentral:rRNA from 1 species
GUGAACGCUGGCGGUAGGCCUAACACAUGCAAGUCGAACGGCAGCACAGUAAGAGCUUGCUCUUACGGGUGGCGAGUGGCGGACAGGUGAGGAAUACAUCGGAAUCUACUUUUUCGUGGGGGAUAACGUAGGGAAACUUACGCUAAUACCGCAUACGACCUACGGGUGAAAGCAGGGGAUCUUCGGACCUUGCGCGAUUGAAUGAGCCGAUGUCGGAUUAGCUAGUUGGCGGGGUAAAGGCCCACCAAGGCGACGAUCCGUAGCUGGUCUGAGAGGAUGAUCAGCCACACUGGAACUGAGACACGGUCCAGACUCCUACGGGAGGCAGCAGUGGGGAAUAUUGGACAAUGGGCGCAAGCCUGAUCCAGCCAUACCGCGUGGGUGAAGAAGGCCUUCGGGUUGUAAAGCCCUUUUGUUGGGAAAGAAAAGCAGCAGGUUAAUACCCCGCUGUUCUGACGGUACCCAAAGAAUAAGCACCGGCUAACUUCGUG